CCUACGGGAGGCUGCAGUGGGGGAUAUUGCACAAUGGGGGGAACCCUGAUGCAGCGACGCCGCGUGGGUGAAGGAGUAUUUCGGUAUGUAAAGCCCUAUCGGCAGGGAAGAAUUUAGACGGUACCUGACUAAGAAGCCCCGGCUAACUACGUGCCAGCAGCAGCGGUAAUACGUAGGGGGCAAGCGUUAUCCGGAUUUACUGGGGGGAAAGGGGGCGUAGACGGCGAUGCAAGCCUGGAGUGAAAGGCCGGGGCCCAACCCCGGGACUGCUCUGGGAACUGUCCGGCUGGAGUGCGGGAGGGGCAGGUGGAAUUCCUGGUGUAGCGGUGAAAUGCGUAGAUAUCAGGAGGAACACCGGCGGCGAAGGCGGCCUGCUGGACCGCGACUGACGUUGAGGCUCGAAAGCGUGGGGAGCGAACAGGAUUAGAUACCCCGGUAGUC
rnacentral:rRNA from 1 species